UACAGAGGUCCCAAGCGUUGUUCGGAUUCACUGGGCGUAAAGGGUGCGCAGGUGGUCGGGUAAGUCUGAUGUGAAAUCCCGCAGCUUAACUGCGGAAUGGCAUUGGAUACUAUUCGGCUAGAGGGUUGGAGGGGGGACUGGAAUUCUCGGUGUAGCAGUGAAAUGCGUAGAUAUCGAGAGGAACACCAGUGGCGAAGGCGAGUCCCUGGACAACUCCUGACGCUGAGGCACGAAGGCCAGGGGAGCAAACGGG
rnacentral:rRNA from 1 species